AACAAAAACAUGGCCUUUUGGGUGGAAUUUAAGGUCGGGCCUGCCCACUGACGUGGUUGAAGGGCCGCGGUAUUUUGACCGUGCAAAGGUAGCAUAAUCAUUAGUCUUUUAAUUGAAGGCUGGAAUGAAUGGUUUGACGAAAUAUUAACUGUCUCUCUAUAAUAAAUGGAAUUUAACUUUUGAGUCAAAAGGCUUAAAUGAAUAUAAAAGACGAGAAGACCCUAUAGAUCUUUAUAUAGUUAAGUAAUUGUUUUAUUUAGUUGUUUUGUUUUCAAUUAUUUUGCUGUAUUUUGUUGGGGUGACAUAAAGAUAAAAAUAACUCUUUAUAAUGGGAACAUUGAUUUAUGAGUGAUUGAUCCGUUAUUAACGAUUAUAAGAUAAAGUUACCUUAGGGAUAACAGCGUAAUUUUUUUUGAGAGUUCUUAUCGACAAGAAAGAUUGCGACCUCGAUGUUGGAUUAAGGAAUAUGAUUAGGUGUAGCAGUUUAAUUAAUAAGUCUGUUCGACUUUUAAAUCCUUACGUCAUCUGGUUCCCAG
rnacentral:rRNA from 1 species